rnacentral:tRNA from 1 species
GUGGCAUAAUGGUUAAGCACUUGGCUGCUAAGCAAGAAGUUGGUAGUUCAAACCCACCC